rnacentral:rRNA from 1 species
UACGAGAGGCCCAAACGUUAUUCGGAAUUACUGGGCUUAAAGAGUUCGUAGGCGGCGCAGAAAGUAGGGUGUGAAAGCCCUCGGCUCAACCGAGGAAUUGCGCUCUAAACUACUGUGCUUGAGGAAGCUAGAGGUGAGCAGAACAGAUGGUGGAGCGGUGAAAUGCGUUGAUAUCGAGAGGAACACCAGUGGCGAAGGCGGCGAUCUGGGAAGAUACUGACGCUGAGGUGCGAAAGCGUGGGGAGCAAACAGG